GGUGCAAACACCAUCUCUGAUUUGGUGCUUGGGGUAGAAAAGUCUGAAAGUUCUUCAUUUCAUUUUUAAUUGCUAGUACUUUAUUGUAGUUAAUUUUUUCUUCUUUAUUUACAUGUAACAUUCACAUUUUGCAUGCAAAUAUUAAAUAUUAGUACAGUCAGUAUCAGCCACGUGCUUUGUGGGGCAUAUUUGGGACUCAGGGCCCAGGUCAAACUGUGAGUAAAUGAUAUUUAGGUACUUUGGAGAACACCUUAAUCUCCCAGAAUCACAGGAUCAAAUGUGGGCUGUGUGGUCCAAACAAGAUCUGCUGAAUCUAGACUCUGGGUAUCUUUUAUCUUUUGCUGUGUAGCCUAAUAUCUGCAGUGAUAGUUGAUACUUCAUAGGAAAAGCAGAAGACACAACCACCUGAGACUUAUUUGUCCCAGGAGGGCUAUGAUGGUUGGCUGUGGGGUGGUCAAGACCCUGGUCCCAGCCCUGAGGUCCCAUGGGUGAAAGAAAAGCCAUCUGGGGAGAGAAGGUGGAAGCGAAGAUGUGGUGGUCCCUCCAAGGGAUGUAUUUACAGAGCUGGACGAAACUGUUCACUCAAAACAUUCUUUCUGCUGAAAAUACCUUUUUUCUUUUUUCUUAUAAUAUCAAAAAUUUUCUGUGGUAAAUGUCCAAUUUCAACAAUUUUGGGGCUUUCAUUGAGAAAGAAAAAGCUUGAAAAACGUGCAGUUUUUUGGCAAUGGAAAGCUAAGGAGUUUGGCAAAAUCCCAAAACAAAACCAAAAACCCCAAAUAGUUUUGAUUUGUGGCCAAAAAGUUUCCAGUUUUCGAUUGCCAGAAACCAAACAUUUUUCAGUUUUUGCGUUUUCAAUGAAAACCCCCAAACUUCUGCAGGGGGGGGCAGGGGGAGGGGGGAAGGUGUUAAGUUUUGUUGUCACCAAUUUUCUCCUGUAGGAACAGAAGAAAAUUCUGACUUUACCCUUCUCUUCCAUGGAUAGUAAGCAUGAGCGUGGGGUUAGGACAAGCUGUUUGGGAGCUCCCUUUGUGUGUCAACCUGAGCUGCAGCAUCUUUUUUUGGCUGAGCUCCUCCAGCACUGGCUGCCUGCCCACUGUGGGCUGUCUCUGGGCAGGUUUGAGCAUCCCCUGUAAAAUAAUUUGGACCUUCAGCUUCCAGAAAUGUCGGCAGCGUCCUGAAGAUGGUAAACACGCUGUGGGAUAGCUGGGCAUCGACAGGAUCUGUCCCUCAGUAAAACUACCUUUGUGUUGGCAAGAGCAUUGGGAUUACACAACACAUCUUGGCUUCUUAAUUAUGAUUUUCCAGCCUUUCUUCCCACCCACUGUGCCUGGGAUUACACCUGUCUUAGUGUACAUGUUCUACACUGCUGUGUUCCAGCUUGGAUGCUCUCCCUUAAAAACAAUUACUUCAUGUGUUGGGUCUAGUUAACACUCCUUCACAGCGCUCAAGCUCACUGACCCUGCAGAUGCUGAGUGUUAGCAGUUGAGCUCUAGUUGCCAUAUGUAACUCUCAUUACCUCAGUGUAGACAAGACCUGUUUACACCUUUAGAGUUUUAAAAUCUUUGAAGCGAAUCAGCUGUGGGAGGCUUGAUAGUAAUUCUUUUUUUCCUUCUCAGUGAUGCUGAGUACCAGUCUGUGCCUAUAACUUCAUUGGAGCUGUAGGAGAUGGGUGCCCAUGGAAGCUCAGCCAACUUUUUGCCCACUUCUGCCCCACUGAAGUCAUCACCAGAUAUACAGCCAGGCCUUUGUGGAUUUUCUUCGUUUCAGAUGCAAAGGCUUCAGAGAAACAGAUUGUGGAGGGGCUUUCAUCACAGGGGGAAUUAAGGAAGCUAGCAAAGUAUCUUAACCCAAACCACACCACUGGUGGCUUUCAGACAGAAAGGAGGACAGAUGAGAUUAACCUCAAAACCCCUCUGCUUCCUUGUGGGGACUAUAAACGCCAAUGCCAAGUGAGAGAAGAAUGCAGGAAAAGAAUUAUUUUAAUGUGGAUGCGUAAGAAACUGGACCACCAAGUCCAUUCCACAUUGGCCACAGAGCAGUCAUCAGAGGGUGUUGACUUUUGACCACUACUGUUUUUGUUAACAAGAAAAAUAAAACCAUAUGUUGCCUAAGUAGAUGCACAAAACUUUUCUCCAAAUCCCUACAGACAAACUGUCAGCAGCAAAAGUAUUUACUUUGGUAAUGCAGCUGGGCUUAAUCCCAGCCCCAUUGUGUUUGUGCAUGCCUUUUCACCACUGAGCUCAAUAACACGCUGCUUGCGAAGAGGGUGAAUGAAUGCAUGCAGUAUGAU